rnacentral:snRNA from 1 species
AGCUUUGCGCAGUGGCAGUAUCGUAGCCAAUGAGGUUUAUCCGAGGCGCGAUUAUUGCUAAUUGAAAGAAAACCCCCAAUCUAUAAGCAAUGACUCUUCUACCAAUUAAAGAAAGAAAAAUAAAUUU